AGUCUAAUGAGGUGCAGC
rnacentral:misc_RNA from 1 species